CUCGCCUUGAACGGAUGGUGGCCUGAACUUUUAGUGCACCGUACUUUUCGCUUCAAGUUUUCUUCCCCUAUAUCUGUUCCCAGCAUUAGGAGCCGCUCGCUGCCAGAGAUGCACGCCAUGCCGUAAGUGCAGCAGCAGCAGCGUGACUUGCGGGCGACGAACGCGACCGAUAUACUUAGCUCCCACAGGAGGCGAUGCAAUUGAUGCUGGCAUUAGUAUUGAUGUUUCACUCAUGAUGAUCAUGAGACGUUUGCUUGACAGCUGUUCCAGUUUGCGGACAACUUUUCUGAACUGCAGAGACAGCGAGCUUCGGCAACUCGGACCACCUUUGGUUUGGUGUUGGUUCGACGAGCGGGAACUUUUUCGGUGAAAGUUUUUCCCCUGUGCCAAUGC